rnacentral:rRNA from 1 species
AGUGAACGCUGGCGGUAGGCCUAACACAUGCAAGUCGAACGGCAGCACAGUAAUAGCUUGCUCUUACGGGUGGCGAGUGGCGGACGGGUGAGGAAUACAGCGGAAUCUACUUUUUCGUGGGGGAUAACGUAGGGAAACUUACGCUAAUACCGCAUAAGACCUACGGGUGAAAGCAGGGGAUCUUCGGACCUUGCGCGAUUGAAUGAGCGGAUGUCGGAUUAGCUAGUUGGCGGGGUAAAGGCCCACCAAGGCGACGAUCCGUAGCUGGUCUGAGAGGAUGAUCGGCCACACUGGAACUGAGACACGGUCCAGACUCCUACGGGAGGCAGCAGUGGGGAAUAUUGGACAAUAGGCGCAAGCCUGAUCCAGCCAUACCGCGUGGGUGAAGAAGGCCUUCGGGUUGUAAAGCCCUUUUGUUGGGAAAGAAAAGCAGCAGGUUAAUACCCCGCUGUUCUGACGGUACCCAAAGAAUAAGCACCGGCUAACUUCGUG